UAGGGAAUCUUCCGCAAUGGACGAAAGUCUGACGGAGCAACGCCGCGUGAGUGAUGAAGGUUUUCGGAUCGUAAAACUCUGUUGUCAGGGAAGAACAAGUACCGGAGUAACUGCCGGUACCUUGACGGUACCUGACCAGAAAGCCACGGCUAACUACGUGCCAGCAGCCGCGGUAAUACGUAGGUGGCAAGCGUUGUCCGGAAUUAUUGGGCGUAAAGCGCGCGCAGGCGGUUCCUUAAGUCUGAUGUGAAAGCCCCCGGCUCAACCGGGGAGGGUCAUUGGAAACUGGGGAACUUGAGUGCAGAAGAGAAGAGUGGAAUUCCACGUGUAGCGGUGAAAUGCGUAGAGAUGUGGAGGAACACCAGUGGCGAAGGCGACUCUUUGGUCUGUAACUGACGCUGAGGCGCGAAAGCGUGGGGAGCAAACA
rnacentral:rRNA from 1 species